GACGAACGCUGGCGGCGGGCUUAACACAUGCAAGUCGAACGGAAAGGCCCUGCUUUUGUGGGGUGCUCGAGUGGCGAACGGGUGAGUAACACGUGAGUAACCUGCCCUUGACUUUGGGAUAACUUCAGGAAACUGGAGCUAAUACCGGAUAGGAUCUCCUGCUGCAUGGUGGGGGUGGGAAAGUUUCGGCGGUUGGGGAUGGACGCGCGGCUUAUCAGCUUGUUGGUGGGGUAGUGGCUUACCAAGGCUUUGACGGGUAGCCGGCCUGAGAGGGUGACCGGCCACAUUGGGACUGAGAUACGGACCAGACUCCUACGGGAGGCAGCAGUGGGGAAUAUUGCACAAUGGGCCGAAGCCUGAUGCAGCAACGCCGCGUGCGGGAUGACGGCCUGCGGGUUGUAAACCGCUUUCGCCUGUGACGAAGCGUGAGUGACGGUAAUGGGUAAAGAAGCACCGGCUAACUACGUG
rnacentral:rRNA from 1 species